rnacentral:rRNA from 1 species
CACGUAGUUAGCCGAGACUUAUUCCUGAGAUACUGUCCUUUCUCAUCUCUCAGAAAAGUGCUUUACGACCCGAAGGCCUUCAUCGCACACGCGGCGUUGCUGCUUCAGGCUUUCGCCCAUUGUGCAAUAUUCCCUA